rnacentral:rRNA from 1 species
GGUUUCCGUAGGUGAACCUGCGGAAGGAUCAUUGUCGAAACCUGCCAAGCAGAAAGACCCGCGAACGAGUUACCUCCACUCGGGGGGGACGAGGGGCGCCAACGCGACCUGGAUCCCCCCGCGUCGGGUGCGUGCGGCCUCGGCCCGCGCACCCGGCUUCCAAACGAACCCCGGCGCGAAAUGCGUCAAGGAAAAAACAACCGAACGAGCCACGCCGUCGGGGCCCCCGGAAACGGUGCCUGCCUCGGUGGUUGAUUCGUGAUUGAUCUAAGUCAAAACGACUCUCGGCAACGGAUAUCUCGGCUCUCGCAUCGAUGAAGAACGUAGCGAAAUGCGAUACUUGGUGUGAAUUGCAGAAUCCCGUGAACCAUCGAGUCUUUGAACGCAAGUUGCGCCCGAAGCCAUCCGGCCGAGGGCACGUCUGCCUGGGCGUCACACAAAGUUGCCCCCCACCCAGACCACAACGCCGCUCCUGACGGGGCGUGCGCGGAACGGGUGGGGGGCGGACGAUGGCCUCCCGUGAGCGUCAGGCCUCGCGGUUGGCCCAAACACGAGUCCUCGGUCGCGUCAUCGUGGCGACAGGUGGUUGUCGAUGAUUCGGUGCCCCGUCACGCGCGUCGGCCGCCAAUCGAGACUCCGACGGACCCCAACGCGCCCGUCAAGGGCGCUUCCAACGCGACCCCAGGUCAGGCGGGGCUACCCGC